rnacentral:rRNA from 1 species
UGAGGAAUAUUGGACAAUGGGUGAGAGCCUGAUCCAGCCAUCCCGCGUGAAGGACGACGGCCCUAUGGGUUGUAAACUUCUUUUGUACAGGGAUAAACCUUUCCACGUGUGGAAAGCUGAAGGUACUGUACGAAUAAGCACCGGCUAACUCCGUGCC